GUUGUGGCUCAGUGGUAGAGCGCUUGCCUAGCAUGUGCACGGCCCUGGGUUCGACCCUCAGCACCACA
rnacentral:tRNA from 1 species